CUCUGUGACUCCUACGGGAGGCAGCAGUGGGGAAUAUUGCACAAGUGGGCGCAAGCCUGAGUGCAGCCAUGCCGCGUGUGUGAAGAAGGCCUUCGGGUUGUAAAGCACUUUCAGUUGUGAGGAAGGUGGUGUCGUUAAUAGCGGCAUCAUUUGACGUUAGCAACAGAAGAAGCACCGGCUAACUCCGUGCCAGCAGCCGCGGUAAUACGGAGGGUGCGAGCGUUAAUCGGAAUUACUGGGCGUAAAAGCGCAUGCAGGUGGUUUGUUAAGUCAGAUGUGAAAGCCCGGGGCUCAACCUCGGAACUGCAUUUGAAACUGGCAGACUAGAGUACUGUAGAGGGGGUAGAAUUUCAGGUGUAGCGGUGAAAUGCGUAGAGAUCUGAAGGAAUACCGGUGGCGAAGGCGGCCCCCUCGGACAGAUACUGACACUCAGAUGCGAAAGCGUGGGGAGCAAACAGGAUUAGAUACCCUGGUAA
rnacentral:rRNA from 1 species